AACGUGGUUGAUGCAUGUCUGUUCGCAGCGGCCUCUGACCUCUUUCUGCCGCCCCCUGCGAUCAUCUACUAACUCCACUGACCUACAUUUGUCUUCCCCUGCACAGUUUGACAUUGACCCUCGUCUAUGACUGUCAUUUCUGGCCAUGCUGCCAUCGCCUUUUCCGUCACCGUCGUCCAGCUCGCUGCAAAUGCCCCCCCUCCGCCAAAUCGCUCCAGCUUCAACUCCAUUGUCAGGAUUUACUCUCUCCGGCACAUUCGCUUCCACGUUUGCUUCCUGCGCCAGCUCUUCCCUCCGCUCUGCUCUGCCUCCGUCGAACAGCAUCAUCACAGCAAUAGAUAAGUAUACUGACAACACACACGCGCACACGAUGGAAUGACGUCACGUACCCGUGUGCAUAUCACUUUCUCAAAGGGUCCGUGGACGUUUUGACAGUCCGUUUUACCGUGGAGUCCUGGAUGCUAAACGAUUUCUGAAUGUAUGGAAGUCUAUAUAAAUAGGACACUACUUAUGACUCGAUUUAUUACCAUCAUUACAUUACCCGCAAAUGUAGUCUUUACACGGGAACGCCCACUUCUUAUUCUCCUCUUCUCUUCUUCUAGAAUGGAAAUUGAAUUAGAAAAGGUUGCGUAUGUAUUGCUGAACAUUUAUACUUUCAUAAAUGAAUCUCGUGCAUAUGAUUCCAAAUACAUACAAAGUUUAGAUACAUAUGGGAGUGUUUCACAUAUAUUAUAUGUUGUGUGGACAAUUUUCACUAGUACGUGUAAGAGCUUUUCAUUAGUGUGUAUGAAUGAAAUCACACUAGCAUACAGAAGGUAUCUCACUUACACCAGAAGGUGGAAGCAAAGAGGGCAGGUUUUGAACAGUAAAAAUUACUAAUGGUAUUAGCACUACAGUUGAUAUUACUAGUAAUACUACUAACACUACUACAAUUUUUCCCAUUGCUAUUAAUACUAAAACUACUAAUACUUCUUCUACUGCUAGUACUACCAGUACCACAACUAAUACUACUGCUAAUAUUACUACAUAGCCAUUUUUAAGAAUUCAUCUCAUCUUUUCUCAUUUCUGUAUUUUCAGCAAUGUUUUUACAUUUAUUUCAGCUUUUCUUAUUUCUGUAUUUACAUAAUGUUUAAAAAAUUCGCUCCAGCUUUAGCUGUUUCUGUAUUUUCAAAAUUCUGAAAUUCAUUUCAGCGUUUUUCAUGUCUGUAUGUUCAGCAAUUUUCUGAAAUUCAUUUCAAUAUUUAGCAUUUUUCUUUUCAG
ensembl:lncRNA